UCCUUGUCGGGUAAGUUCCGACCUGCACGAAUGGCGUAAUCAUGGCCACGCUGUCUCCACCCAGGACUCAGUGAAAUUGAAAUCGCAGUGAAGAUGCUGUGUACCCGCACCUAGACGGAAAGACCCCGUGAACCUUUACUAUAGCUUCACAGUGAACUUUGAGCAUGUUUGUGUAGGAUAGCUGGGAGGCUUUGAAGUGGGAACGCCAGUUCUCAUGGAGCCAACCUUGAAAUACCAGCCUGACAUGUUUGAGGUUCUAACUUGGUCCCCUUAUCGGGGAUGAGGACACUGUGUGGUGGGUAGUUUGACUGGGGCGGUCUCCUCCCAAAGCGUAACGG
rnacentral:rRNA from 1 species